GGGGCGUGCGGCUGCCUAUACAUGCAAGUCGAACGAGCUUCCGUUGAAUGACGUGCUUGCACUGAUUUCAACAAUGAAGCGAGUGGCGAACUGGUGAGUAACACGUGGGAAAUCUGCCCAGAAGCAGGGGAUAACACUUGGAAACAGGUGCUAAUACCGUAUAACAACAAAAUCCGCAUGGAUUUUGUUUGAAAGGUGGCUUCGGCUAUCACUUCUGGAUGAUCCCGCGGCGUAUUAGUUAGUUGGUGAGGUAAAGGCCCACCAAGACGAUGAUACGUAGCCGACCUGAGAGGGUAAUCGGCCACAUUGGGACUGAGACACGGCCCAAACUCCUACGGGAGGCAGCAGUAGGGAAUCUUCCACAAUGGACGAAAGUCUGAUGGAGCAAUGCCGCGUGAGUGAAGAAGGGUUUCGGCUCGUAAAACUCUGUUGUUAAAGAAGAACACCUUUGAGAGUAACUGUUCAAGGGUUGACGGUAUUUAACCAGAAAGCCACGGCUAACUACGUGCCAGCAGCCGCGGUAAUACGUAGGUGGCAAGCGUUGUCCGGAUUUAUUGGGCGUAAAGCGAGCGCAGGCGGUUUUUUAAGUCUGAUGUGAAAGCCUUCGGCUUAACCGGAGAAGUGCAUCGGAAACUGGGAGACUUGAGUGCAGAAGAGGACAGUGGAACUCCAUGUGUAGCGGUGGAAUGCGUAGAUAUAUGGAAGAACACCAGUGGCGAAGGCGGCUGUCUAGUCUGUAACUGACGCUGAGGCUCGAAAGCAUGGGUAGCGAACAGGAUUAGAUACCCUGGUAGUCCAUGCCGUAAACGAUGAGUGCUAAGUGUUGGAGGGUUUCCGCCCUUCAGUGCUGCAGCUAACGCAUUAAGCACUCCGCCUGGGGAGUACGACCGCAAGGUUGAAACUCAAAGGAAUUGACGGGGGCCCGCACAAGCGGUGGAGCAUGUGGUUUAAUUCGAAGCUACGCGAAGAACCUUACCAGGUCUUGACAUCUUCUGCCAAUCUUAGAGAUAAGACGUUCCCUUCGGGGACAGAAUGACAGGGGUGCAUGGUUGUC
rnacentral:rRNA from 1 species